rnacentral:lncRNA from 1 species
AAAAAAAACAUGGAAGAGAGAUAAAUGCCUCUCAGAGAGAAGGUCACAGGACUCAUCCACAUUUCCUUUAUACAACUUUUUAUUGCUCCUCUGGGAACAACAGCAACAAAGAACAAAUCAACCUAAAAAGUAGAAUAGAGAGUCCAGCAACAGACAUAAAUGUAUGUGUGGGAUUUAUGACAAAGACUACACUCCAGUUUAUCAGCAAUAUUUUUAAAUAAAUGGGCAGAUCAUGUUUUUUAGCAGCACAGUUGACAAUGGAACCAAACUUAGGUGUCCAAACCAUGGAACUAGCCUAGGCGUCUAUCAACAGACAAAGGGAUAAAGAAAAUGUGGUAUAUAUACACAUUGGAGUUUUAUUCUGCCAUAAAAAAGAGUGAGAUUGCAGAUUAUGCUAAGUGAAUCUAGCCAAUCCCUAAAAAACAAAUGCCAAAUGUCUUCUUUGAUAUAAGGAGAGUAACUAAGAACAGAGUAGGGUCGAAGAGCAUGAGAAGAAGAUUAACAUUAAACAGGGAUGAGAGGUGGGAGGGAAAGGGAGAGAGAAGGGAAAUUGGAUGGAAAUGGAAGGAGACCCUCAGAGUUAUACAAAAGUACAUACAAGAGGAAGUGAGGGGAAAGGGAAAAAUAAUACAAGGGGGACAAAUGAAUGUCAGUAGAGGGGGCAGAGAGAGAAGAGGGGAGAGGAGGGGAGGGGAGGGGAGGGGGGAUAGUAGAGGAUAGGAAAGGCAGCAGAACACAACAGACACUAGUAUGGCAAUAUGUAAAUCAAUGGAUGUGUAACUGAUGUGAUUCUGCAAUCUGUAUAUGGGGUAAAAAUGGGAGCUCAUAACCCACUUGAAUCAAAGUGUG